UUAAGCGACUAAGCGUACACGGUGGAUGCCCUGGCAGUCAGAGGCGAUGAAGGACGUGCUAAUCUGCGAAAAGCGUCGGUAAGGUGAUAUGAACCGUUAUAACCGGCGAUGUCCGAAUGGGGAAACCCAGUGUGAUUCGUCACACUAUCGUUAACUGAAUACAUAGGUUAACGAGGCGAACCGGGGGAACUGAAACAUCUAAGUACCCCGAGGAAAAGAAAUCAACCGAGAUUCCCCCAGUAGCGGCGAGCGAACGGGGAGCAGCCCAGAGUCUGAAUCAGCUUGUGUGUUAGUGGAACGGUCUGGAAAGUCCGACGGUACAGGGUGAUAGUCCCGUACACCAAAAUGCACAGGCUGUGAACUCGAAGAGUAGGGCGGGACACGUGGUAUCCUGUCUGAAUAUGGGGGGACCAUCCUCCAAGGCUAAAUACUCCUGACUGACCGAUAGUGAACCAGUACCGUGAGGGAAAGGCGAAAAGAACCCCGGCGAGGGGAGUGAAAAAGAACCUGAAACCGUGUACGUACAAGCAGUGGGAGCACCUUCGGGUGUGACUGCGUACCUUUUGUAUAAUGGGUCAGCGACUUAUAUUCUGUAGCAAGGUUAACCGUAUAGGGGAGCCGCAGGGAAACCGAGUCUUAACUGGGCGUUAAGUUGCAGGGUAUAGACCCGAAACCCGGUGAUCUAGCCAUGGGCAGGUUGAAGGUUGGGUAACACUAACUGGAGGACCGAACCGACUAAUGUUGAAAAAUUAGCGGAUGACUUGUGGCUGGGGGUGAAAGGCCAAUCAAACCGGGAGAUAGCUGGUUCUCCCCGAAAGCUAUUUAGGUAGCGCCUCGUGAAUUCAUCUUCGGGGGUAGAGCACUGUUUCGGCUAGGGGGUCAUCCCGACUUACCAACCCGAUGCAAACUACGAAUACCGAAGAAUGUUAUCACGGGAGACACACGGCGGGUGCUAACGUCCGUCGUGAAGAGGGAAACAACCCAGACCGCCAGCUAAGGUCCCAAAGUCAUGGUUAAGUGGGAAACGAUGUGGGAAGGCACAGACAGCCAGGAUGUUGGCUUAGAAGCAGCCAUCAUUUAAAGAAAGCGUAAUAGCUCACUGGUCGAGUCGGCCUGCGCGGAAGAUGUAACGGGGCUAAACCAUGCACCGAAGCUGCGGCAGCGACACUAUGUGUUGUUGGGUAGGGGAGCGUUCUGUAAGCCUGCGAAGGUGUGCUGUGAGGCAUGCUGGAGGUAUCAGAAGUGCGAAUGCUGACAUAAGUAACGAUAAAGCGGGUGAAAAGCCCGCUCGCCGGAAGACCAAGGGUUCCUGUCCAACGUUAAUCGGGGCAGGGUGAGUCGACCCCUAAGGCGAGGCCGAAAGGCGUAGUCGAUGGGAAACAGGUUAAUAUUCCUGUACUUGGUGUUACUGCGAAGGGGGGACGGAGAAGGCUAUGUUAGCCGGGCGACGGUUGUCCCGGUUUAAGCAUGUAGGCUGGUUGUCCAGGCAAAUCCGGAUAAUCAAGGCUGAGGUGUGAUGACGAGGCACUACGGUGCUGAAGUAACAAAUGCCCUGCUUCCAGGAAAAGCCUCUAAGCAUCAGGUAACAUCAAAUCGUACCCCAAACCGACACAGGUGGUCAGGUAGAGAAUACCAAGGCGCUUGAGAGAACUCGGGUGAAGGAACUAGGCAAAAUGGUGCCGUAACUUCGGGAGAAGGCACGCUGGUGUGUAGGUGAAGUCCCUGCGGAUGGAGCUGAGACCAGUCGAAGAUACCAGCUGGCUGCAACUGUUUAUUAAAAACACAGCACUGUGCAAACACGAAAGUGGACGUAUACGGUGUGACGCCUGCCCGGUGCCGGAAGGUUAAUUGAUGGGGUUAUCCGUAAGGAGAAGCUCUUGAUCGAAGCCCCGGUAAACGGCGGCCGUAACUAUAACGGUCCUAAGGUAGCGAAAUUCCUUGUCGGGUAAGUUCCGACCUGCACGAAUGGCGUAAUGAUGGCCAGGCUGUCUCCACCCGAGACUCAGUGAAAUUGAACUCGCUGUGAAGAUGCAGUGUACCCGCGGCAAGACGGAAAGACCCCGUGAACCUUUACUAUAGCUUGACACUGAACAUUGAGCCUUGAUGUGUAGGAUAGGUGGGAGGCUUUGAAGCGUGGACGCCAGUCUGCGUGGAGCCAACCUUGAAAUACCACCCUUUAAUGUUUGAUGUUCUAACGUUGGCCCCUGACCGGGGUUGCGGACAGUGUCUGGUGGGUAGUUUGACUGGGGCGGUCUCCUCCCAAAGCGUAACGGAGGAGCACGAAGGUUAGCUAAUCCUGGUCGGACAUCAGGAGGUUAGUGCAAUGGCAUAAGCUAGCUUGACUGCGAGCGUGACGGCGCGAGCAGGUGCGAAAGCAGGUCAUAGUGAUCCGGUGGUUCUGAAUGGAAGGGCCAUCGCUCAACGGAUAAAAGGUACUCCGGGGAUAACAGGCUGAUACCGCCCAAGAGUUCAUAUCGACGGCGGUGUUUGGCACCUCGAUGUCGGCUCAUCACAUCCUGGGGCUGAAGUAGGUCCCAAGGGUAUGGCUGUUCGCCAUUUAAAGUGGUACGCGAGCUGGGUUUAGAACGUCGUGAGACAGUUCGGUCCCUAUCUGCCGUGGGCGCUGGAGAAUUGAGGGGGGCUGCUCCUAGUACGAGAGGACCGGAGUGGACGCAUCACUGGUGUUCGGGUUGUCAUGCCAAUGGCACUGCCCGGUAGCUAAAUGCGGAAGAGAUAAGUGCUGAAAGCAUCUAAGCACGAAACUUGCCCCGAGAUGAGUUCUCCCUGAGACUUUAAGUCUCCUGAAGGAACGUUAAAGACGAUGACGUUGAUAGGCCGGGUGUGUAAGCGCAGCGAUGCGUUGAGCUAACCGGUACUAAUGAACCGUGAGGCUUAACCUU
rnacentral:rRNA from 1 species